ensembl:lncRNA
AUGUUUUACAAAAUCAAUAACAUUUUUCGAGCCAUUAUUUACACUUUGUAUUUGAUAUAUUCCUUCAUAACAAGUCUGUCUAAGCACAUAAUCUGCUAAGAGCUCCAGAAAGCUUAUAUAACAUAGAAAAAUGUUGUAUUAUUUUUAGCAUACCUUACAAGUCUCCAGCUUAAAUCAGUGGCAAGUAUGUGUAACCCAUAUCAACUACUCCCUGUCACAUGACCCACGUCAGCUGAUUUGAGGUCCCUCUCCUGAUUGGCUCCUUCCACGUCGCAGCAACUCUGAAAACCGGCUGUGGAGGGAUACUUCCGGGUUCGACUCCUGCUGUGGCUGUAAGCUUAUGGUGUGUAGAACGGCGUUGGAAAACAAAGCGUUUUCUCCCCUAAAUUCGUCUAUAAAAUUGUAUCACCUCAGCGGUCAGGUUUUUUUUCCCCCUUUAAAUUGAUCUUCUUCAUAUUGAAGUGGCGAGCUGGUAGGACCAUUCUUUGUUUUUUCCCCUCUUUUCCCCCGCUUUGCCGUCUUUGGAUUACGGACAUAUUUCCCCAUUGUAUGAAACUGGACCCUAAGGAGGAAUACCUUAAAAGUGAACUUUAAAAACAAGAAAAGGACCAAAAAGGACUCUUAACAAAAGGACUCUUGCACAGAAAAUCACAGCAAUUGAUUUAUUAUUUAUUACACAAUUAUUUAAUUGUGGGCAUUUAUUUAUGUUGUAUUGAUUAUUUUGUUCCAUUUCCCCUUUCCCCCAUUUAUUCAAUAUAUUUUUGGUACAAGAUAUUGCAGUCUUUGGUCUCAUCAUUCACACCAUCUAUGCUCCAUAAAGAACUAUUUCUUCUGCGCGUCAGUCAGUAAACUCAUCCAUUGCAAUAAAACUAGCCCUUAAUUAACUUUGCGUUACAUAUGCAGACUGACAAACAUAUGUUCAAUUUCUUACAUAUUGUGCAAAACAGGCCUUGGUGAGAUUGUUUUCCCUCUCAACAGGUACAAUGUGAUCUUUUGUGGAGUGGAUGUCUACUCGAGGAAGGUAAAGUAAUAAAUGUUCUAAGUAGAAUGUUUGGUAGUUACGAAAUAACAGCUUUCUUAGGUCAUCUUUUUUAUAAAGA